UAGGGAAUCUUCCACAAUGGACGCAAGUCUGAUGGAGCAACGCCGCGUGAGUGAAGAAGGUUUUCGGAUCGUAAAGCUCUGUUGUUGGUGAAGAAGGUUAGAGGCAGUAACUGGUCUUUAUUUGACGGUAAUCAACCAGAAAGUCACGGCUAACUACGUGCCAGCAGCCGCGGUAAUACGUAGGUGGCAAGCGUUGUCCGGAUUUAUUGGGCGUAAAGCGAGCGCAGGCGGAAUGAUAAGUCUGAUGUGAAAGCCCACGGCUCAACCGUGGAACUGCAUCGGAAACUGUCAUUCUUGAGUGCAGAAGAGGAGAGUGGAAUUCCAUGUGUAGCGGUGGAAUGCGUAGAUAUAUGGAAGAACACCAGUGGCGAAGGCGGCUCUCUGGUCUGCAACUGACGCUGAGGCUCGAAAGCAUGGGUAGCGAACAGG
rnacentral:rRNA from 1 species